rnacentral:rRNA from 1 species
UACGGGAGGCAGCAGUGGGGAAUAUUGCACAAUGGGCGAAAGCCUGAUGCAGUUAUGCCGCGUGUAUGAAGAAGGCCUUCGGGUUGUAAAGUACUUUCAGUCGUGAGGAAGGUGUUAAGGUUAAUAACCUUAGCAAUUGACGUUAGCGACAGAAGAAGCACCGGCUAACUCCGUGCCAGCAGCCGCGGUAAUACGGAGGGUGCGAGCGUUAAUCGGAAUUACUGGGCGUAAAGGGCACGCAGGCGGUUAAUUAAGUUGGAUGUGAAAUCCCCGGGCUUAACCUGGGAAUGGCAUUCAAGACUGGUUAGCUAGAGUCUUGUAGAGGGGGUAGAAUUCCAUGUGUAGCGGUGAAAUGCGUAGAGAUGUGGAGGAUACCGGUGGCGAAGGCGGCCCCUGGACAAGACUGACGCUCAUGUGCGAAAGCGUGGGGAGCAAACAGGGAUUAGAUACCCGU